rnacentral:rRNA from 1 species
AACGAACGCUGGCGGCAGGCCUAACACAUGCAAGUCGAACGCCCUAGCAAUAGGGAGUGGCAGACGGGUGAGUAACACGUGGGAACCUUCCCUAUAGUACGGAAUAGCUCAGGGAAACUUGAAGUAAUACCGUAUACGCCCGAGAGGGGAAAGAUUUAUUGCUAUAGGAUGGGCCCGCGUCGGAUUAGCUAGUUGGUGAGGUAAUGGCUCACCAAGGCGACGAUCCGUAGCUGGUUUGAGAGAACGACCAGCCACACUGGGACUGAGACACGGCCCAGACUCCUACGGGAGGCAGCAGUGGGGAAUAUUGGACAAUGGGCGCAAGCCUGAUCCAGCCAUGCCGCGUGAGUGAUGAAGGCCUUAGGGUUGUAAAGCUCUUUUAGUCAGGGAAGAUAAUGACUGUACCUGCAGAAUAAGACUCCGGCUAACUUACGUGCCAGCAGCCGCGGUAAU